AGAGUAAAAUAGUACGUGAAAUUGUUGAAAGGGAAACGAUUGAAGUCAGUCAUGCUUGCAGGGAAUCAACAUGGUGGUUUUCUUCCUUGUGCACUUCCCUGCUUGGCAGGUUAGCAUCAAUUUUGAUUGUCAUUAAAGAAUCGGGGGGAAUGUGGCUUCUUCGGGAGUGUUAUAGACCUCGGUAGAUGUGGCGAUUGGGAUUGAGGAUUGCAGCGAAUGCUUCUAGGCUAGUCACCUGGCUUCUGACGGUUACCUUGCUUCCGAUAGCUUGCUAACGGUGGUGAGACUCGAUUGUCUAGAUGUUAGUGUGAUCAUAAAUUCGCUAAGGAUGUUGACGUAAUGGCUUUAAACGACC
rnacentral:rRNA from 1 species